rnacentral:rRNA from 1 species
UACGUAGGUGGCAAGCGUUAUCCGGAAUUAUUGGGCGUAAAGAGCGCGCAGGUGGUUAAUUAAGUCUGAUGUGAAAGCCCACGGCUUAACCGUGGAGGGUCAUUGGAAACUGGUUGACUUGAGUGCAGAAGAGGGAAGUGGAAUUCCAUGUGUAGCGGUGAAAUGCGUAGAGAUAUAGAGGAACACCAGUGGCGAAGGCGGUUUACUGGACCACAACUGACGCUGAGACACGAAAGCGUGGGGAGCAAACAGG